UUAAUUCAGCCACAUUUUUUAGAGCUCUAGAGUAUCAUAUUGCACAAACAUGCUGAGGAGAAAUUCCUGUGAUGCUCUUGAGAAAAAUCAUAGAGCAUUUUUACACU
rnacentral:miRNA from 12 species